rfam:Amborella trichopoda AMTR_V1.0_contig_19566, whole genome shotgun sequence.
GACUCUCGACAACGGAUAUCUUGGCUCUUGCCUUGAUGAAGAACGUAGCGAAAUGCGAUACUUGGCAUGAAUUGCAAAUCCCGUGAAUCAUCGAGUCUUUGACAUGGAACCCACCAACUCUCGAUGCGGGGGGUCGAUUGUGCGAUG